UGGCCUUGCCAGAUCCGGCGAGCUGGGCGGGGCUCGAGCCUCGCCCAGCUCGCCGGAUCUGGCGACCGGA
rnacentral:pre_miRNA from 1 species